UCGAACGGCAGCACGGACUUCGGUCUGGUGGCGAGUGGCGAACGGGUGAGUAAUAUAUCGGAACGUGCCCUGGAGUGGGGGAUAACUAGUCGAAAGAUUAGCUAAUACCGCAUACGAUCUACGGAUGAAAGUGGGGGAUCGCAAGACCUCAUGCUCGUGGAGCGGCCGAUAUCUGAUUAGCUAGUUGGUGGGGUAAAAGCCUACCAAGGCAUCGAUCAGUAGCUGGUCUGAGAGGACGACCAGCCACACUGGGACUGAGACACGGCCCAGACUCCUACGGGAGGCAGCAGUGGGGAAUUUUGGACAAUGGGGGCAACCCUGAUCCAGCAAUGCCGCGUGAGUGAAGAAGGCCUUCGGGUUGUAAAGCUCUUUUGUCAGGGAAGAAACGGUUCUGGCUAAUAUCCGGAGCUAAUGACGGUACCUGAAGAAUAAGCACCGGCUAACUACGUGCCAGCAGCCGCGGUAAUACGUAGGGUGCAAGCGUUAAUCGGAAUUACUGGGCGUAAAGCGUGCGCAGGCGGUUGUGCAAGACAGAUGUGAAAUCCCCGGGCUCAACCUGGGAAUUGCAUUUGUGACUGUACGGCUAGAGUGUGUCAGAGGGGGGUAGAAUUCCACGUGUAGCAGUGAAAUGCGUAGAGAUGUGGAGGAAUACCGAUGGCG
rnacentral:rRNA from 1 species